GUAGAAAAGAGAAAUAAGGCUGAUUAUUCUCUGGACUGUAAAGUGAAACAUGCUGAGAUAAGAAAACUACUCAGUGAUGUCAAAUGCAUCUCACAGGUAAAGACAGUGACCUGUGCUGUCUGAGGAGCAUCAGAGUGAAGGACGUCAGAGUGCUGCCAUCUUGUGGUUUAAAUGUGCGCUUACAUAAUCCUAAAUCUUAGCACGGAGCUUCAGAUGUUUGUUUCUGGCCUUCUUCACUGUUUUUUGUAACUAAGAGUAAAUGAGUUAAAAGUUGGGGGCAGGUUUUCUCUCCUCUCUCUGCCAGGUGAAAUUCUUGGUGAGCUGAAUUGUGGAGCUGCUCUGUUUCUGUAAAAAACCAAAGAGAUGUAUCAAAACGUAUCUGCCUGCUCGCCUUCAACCGCAUCAGCCUUCUGGAAAACUCGUGCUCGCCGCUCCUGACCCCCCUCAGUUCUGGAGAAACAGUAAAGUAAGAAUUCAGACUCAGUUAUCAGCAGAGGCGGAGCCAGACAUUUGAAACACCCGGGGCUUAGCCCAAAGAGUAGUAUGCAUGUGGGAUUUUUUUUUUUUUUUUUUUUUUUGGGGGGGGGUGUAGAAAUGACUGAAAGAUUAAUAGGCUCUGUUCAAAAAAGAAUGACUUCAUAUAGGGAAAAAUAUAUAUCACAUGUGCAGGACACCUUAAACUAGUUUUUUAAUUAAGCAGCAAGGCAGAACAAGGUCAGGGCUGUAUCAAGACACGAGGACUAAACCCCAAUUCAACCAGACCCAGAACUGAUCCAGAAUUAAAACAGGACUACAAGAGUUCAAAAUCAGGACUACUGAGGACUUAACCAAGACAGAACCAGAAUCAGAACUAGAUGAUAGCACUAAAAAUCAUCAUAGACCUGCACUACACUUAUUUUUUAAUUCUACCAAAGUCCAAUAUUUAGAUUGAGAAACGUUUAUAUAAUUAUUUAGCCUUGUUGUGCAAACAAGCCUGCAAAACUUAAUAAAUACAGAAUUUGAAAAAUAACAAACCUAAAAAGAAACACUAGGUACGAGAUACAUGAGGACCUGUGAUACGGUGAUACUUUUGGUAAACAACCAUUUGACUAACAGGUGUGUCUCACCUGCUCUUGUUCAUCUGUUCUGUCCUCGUUCUCCAUCUCCCUCUCUGUUCCUCUC
ensembl:lncRNA